rnacentral:rRNA from 1 species
UACGUAGGGGGGCAAGCGUUGUCCGGAUUUAUUGGGCGUAAAGAGCGUGUAGGCGGCCAUGCAGGUCCGUUGUGAAAACUCGAGGCUCAACCUCGAGACGCCGAUGGAAACCGCAUGGCUAGAGUCCGGAAGAGGAGAGUGGAAUUCCCGGUGUAGCGGUGAAAUGCGCAGAUAUCAGGAAGAACACCCGUGGCUAAGGCGGCUCUCUAGUACGGUACUGACGCUGAGACGCGAAAGCGUGGGGAGCGAACAGG